rnacentral:rRNA from 1 species
GCGAGUGGCGAACGGGUGAGUAACGCGUGAGGAACCUGCCUCAAAGAGGGGGACAACAGUUGGAAACGACUGCUAAUACCGCAUAAGCCCACGGUGCCGCAUGGCACAGAGGGAAAAGGAGCAAUCCGCUUUGAGAUGGCCUCGCGUCCGAUUAGCUAGUUGGUGAGGUAAUGGCCCACCAAGGCGACGAUCGGUAGCCGGACUGAGAGGUUGAACGGCCACAUUGGGACUGAGACACGGCCCAGACUCCUACGGGAGGCAGCAGUGGGGAAUAUUGCACAAUGGGGGAAACCCUGAUGCAGCGACGCCGCGUGGAGGAAGAAGGUCUUCGGAUUGUAAACUCCUGUUGUUGGGGAAGAUAAUGACGGUACCCAACAAGGAAGUGACGGCUAACUACGUGCCAGCAGCCGCGGUAAAACGUAGGUCACAAGCGUUGUCCGGAAUUACUGGGUGUAAAGGGAGCGCAGGCGGGAAGACAAGUUGGAAGUGAAAUCUAUGGGCUCAACCCAUAAACUGCUUUCAAAACUGUUUUUCUUGAGUAGUGCAGAGGUAGGCGGAAUUCCCGGUGUAGCGGUGGAAUGCGUAGAUAUCGGG